AUUGAACGCUAGCGGCAGGCUUAACACAUGCAAGUCGAGCGAGUGGCGGACGGGUGAGUAAUGUCUGGGAAACUGCCCGGUGGAGGGGGAUAACUACUGGAAACGGUGGCUAAUACCGCAUACCAUCAGAUGGGCCCAGAUGGGAUUAGCUAGUUGGUGGGGUAAAGGCUCACCAAGGCAACGAUCCGUAGCUGGUUUGAGAGGAUGACCAGCCACACUGGGACUGAGACACGGUCCAGACUCCUACGGGAGGCAGCAGUGGGGAAUUUUGCACAAUGGGCGCAAGCCUGAUGCAGCCAUGCCGCGUGUAUGAUGAAGGCCUUCGGGUUGUAAAGUACUUUCAGCGGGGAAGCGUUACCCGCAGAAGAAGCACCGGCUAACUACGUGCCAGCAGCCGCGGUAAUUC
rnacentral:rRNA from 1 species